UACGUAGGGUGCGAGCGUUGUCCGGAAUUAUUGGGCGUAAAGAGCUUGUAGGCGGUUUGUCGCGUCUGCUGUGAAAAUCCGGGGCUCAACCCCGGACUUGCAGUGGGUACGGGCAGACUAGAGUGUGGUAGGGGAGACUGGAAUUCCUGGUGUAGCGGUGAAAUGCGCAGAUAUCAGGAGGAACACCGAUGGCGAAGGCAGGUCUCUGGGCCACUACUGACGCUGAGAGGCGAAAGCAUGGGGAGCGAACGGG
rnacentral:rRNA from 1 species